GACGUAGGGGCGAGCGUUGUCCGGAAUUACUGGGCGUAAAGAGCACGUAGGCGGGAACCUAAGUCAGGUGUGAAAGACCGUGGCUCAACCACGGGGUGGCAUUUGAAACUGGGUUUCUUGAGGGCAGGAGAGGAAAGCAGAAUUCCUGGUGUAGCGGUGAAAUGCGUAGAAAUCAGGAGGAAUACCAGUGGCGAAGGCGGCUUUCUGGACUGACCCUGACGCUGAGGUGCGAAAGCGUGGGUAGCAAACAGGAUUAGAUACCCGGGUAGUCCCUGAGCGGG
rnacentral:rRNA from 1 species